CAGCAGGCGCGAAAACUUUACAAUGCUGGAAACAGCGAUAAGGGGACCUCGAGUGCCAGGUUACAAAUCUGGCUGUCGUGAUGCCUAAAAAGCAUUGCAUAGCAAGGGCCGGGCAAGACCGGUGCCAGCCGCCGCGGUAACACCGGCGGCUCGAGUGGUAACCGUUAUUAUUGGGUCUAAAGGGUCUGUAGCCGGCCGGAUAAGUCUCUUGGGAAAUCCAGCAGCUCAACUGUUGGGCUUUCAGGAGAUACUGUCUGGCUCGAGGCCGGGAGAGGUGAGAGGUACUUCAGGGGUAGGGGUGAAAUCUUGUAAUCCUUGAAGGACCACCAGUGGCGAAGGCGUCUCACCAGAACGGACCUGACGGCAAGGGACGAAAGCUAGGGGCACGAACCGGAUUAGAUACCCGGGUAGUCCUAGCCGUAAACGAUACUCGCUAGGUGUCGGCCACGGUGCGACCGUUGUCGGUGCCGUAGGGAAGCCGUGAAGCGAGCCACCUGGGAAGUACGGCCGCAAGGCUGAAACUUAAAGGAAUUGGCGGGGGAGCAC
rnacentral:rRNA from 1 species